UACGUAGGGGGCGAGCGUUGUCCGGAAUUAUUGGGCGUAAAGAGCGUGUAGGCGGCCAGGUAGGUCUGCUGUGAAAACUCGAGGCUUAACCUCGAGCUGUCGGCGGAAACCAUCUGGCUAGAGUCCGGAAGAGGAGAAUGGAAUUCCCGGUGUAGCGGUGAAAUGCGCAGAUAUCGGGGAAGAACACCCGUGGCGAAGGCGGUUCUCUGGGACGGUACUGACGCUGAGACGCGAAAGCGUGGGGAGCGAACAGG
rnacentral:rRNA from 1 species